UACAAAGGGGGCUAGCGUUGCUCGGAAUCACUGGGCGUAAAGGGUGCGUAGGCGGGUCUUUAAGUCAGGGGUGAAAUCCUGGAGCUCAACUCCAGAACUGCCUUUGAUACUGAAGAUCUUGAGUUCGGGAGAGGUGAGUGGAACUGCGAGUGUAGAGGUGAAAUUCGUAGAUAUUCGCAAGAACACCAGUGGCGAAGGCGGCUCACUGGCCCGAUACUGACGCUGAGGCACGAAAGCUAGGGGAGCAAACGGG
rnacentral:rRNA from 1 species